CAAGAAGUUGAUUUCAACCCAUAACAGUUCACACUGAAACAGAUUUUUAAAAGACUUUAAAGUACCUCAAUAUUUUUUCUAUUUACCUUCUUUAAUUUUGUCAACAUCUUAACAUCUCUGACUUCAAUCACAUAUGGGUAAUUAAACUCUAGGUCACCUGAGCACUACAGACCUCGUUGGUUCAAAGAGUUUCACUGGAAUUUGCAAGAGGCUCGGUUCACAAUGAACUUGCUAGGAAAGUACAAGAUGAAAUAUUAACUCCUAACUAAUUCUAAGUCAGCCAUUGCACAGGCUUGUUUAAGGAAGCAGAAGUUUGACCUGUAUGAACAAGAGGACCAAUUUUGUAAAAGAACGUGGGGACAGAAAGAUAUUAUAACGUGUGUUUGAAAUGGUUUCAACACACAUUCACUUCGCAGGAAGAAUUUCUUUUUUCAGACCAAAAAGUUACUUCUAUCAUAGGUAGAAUGCUAGUCUUCACCCAGAAACUGCCAGGGUCCCAAUUCCCACCUAGGUACUAGGUACAUAUCCUUUCUGCUGGCCAUUGCCUCCUUUUAAAAUCGCUUGACAGUGGGCAGCAGCUUCUUGGUGCUGAAGCAGGAAUCAAGCAAGAGCCAUGUAAGUACUCACAAAUAUAUUACUUCAUAGCUAAUGCCUUUUGUGCUCUUCUAGAGUCCACUUCUAUUCAAAUUAGAAACAGUCUUGCAUAAGAUCCUGCCAUUAACUGCCUUUGCUGCAACUCACUAAUACUGUACAGCUGCUGGACAAGAAAAGGCACUUGACACAUGCCCUGAGGCAUGUUUUCUUAAUUUUCAGGAAUUGGCUUUUUUUGGGGGGGGGGACAGGGGUGGAGAUAAUAUGGCCAAAAGCGGAAAGAGAAAUUUAAAAAAACGUUUCUUAUAGAAAGGCGACGGGAAGGCACAGGUAGUUUGCGCCAUACACACACGCAAGGAAGGCCAUGACCCUCUCCGACGGGAAAGGCCAUGGCUAAUAACAGAGAAGAUCUACCGAUCGUUUUCCUUGUCAAUUCUGAUUUCUCCGAGAUUUCACCGAGGUGCGUUGAGACGAUGGGAGAAUAAGCCUUUGCCAUCUCGUUAGUAGACAGCAGACAUCGGUUAUGUGUAUACUGUAUUUACAUACAGUAUAGACACGAGUAUGUAACCCUGUGUUUGUGAGCAAAUGGUCUCCUCUGCAGCACAAUACGCCUCUCUACGGGCGAGUAGAUUUUGAGCAUACUGUAUUUUAAUUUGUACAGAAUUUCCCUCACCUGCUCUGCUCGCCAUUAACAGAACUACACAAUCGCACCCAAAAUCGAGGAACUGAUACUCCAUAAAUAGCUUGUUUCCAGUCGUGCACUAUCGUGAUAAAAAAAAAAAAAACAUGAUGAGAAAGCGUUUGUAUACUGGAGAACUGCCUGCCAUUCUGGGUGUUAAACCAGGACUUCAUGUGAGCCCGUGGUGAAAUUAACAUGAGGAAGAGCUAGUGGUGCAUUUUGCAGCAGUCAGGCAA
rnacentral:lncRNA from 1 species